rnacentral:rRNA from 1 species
UACGUAGGGGGCAAGCGUUGUCCGGAAUCAUUGGGCGUAAAGCGCGUGUAGGCGGCUCGGUAAGUCUGCUGUGAAAGUCCAGGGCUCAACCCUGGGAUGCCGGUGGAUACUGUCGAGCUCGAGUCCGGAAGAGGCGAGUGGAAUUCUGGUGUAGCGGUGAAAUGCGCGAUAUCAGGAGGAACACCGGUGGCGAAAGGGCGGGUCUCCUGGGCCGAUGACUGACGCUGGAGGAGCGAAAGCGUGGGGAGCGAACGGA